rnacentral:rRNA from 1 species
AACGAACGCUGGCGGCAGGCCUAACACAUGCAAGUCGAACGCCCCGCAAGGGGAGUGGCAGACGGGUGAGUAACACUUGGGAACCUUCCCUAUAGUACGGAAUAGCCCAGGGAAACUUGGAGUAAUACCGUAUACGCCCGAAAGGGGAAAGAAUUUCGCUAUAGGAUGGGCCCGCGUAGGAUUAGCUAGUUGGUGAGGUAAUGGCUCACCAAGGCGACGAUCCUUAGCUGGUUUGAGAGAACGACCAGCCACACUGGGACUGAGACACGGCCCAGACUCCUACGGGAGGCAGCAGUGGGGAAUAUUGGACAAUGGGCGCAAGCCUGAUCCAGCCAUGCCGCGUGAGUGAUGAAGGCCUUAGGGUUGUAAAGCUCUUUUGGCGGGGACGAUAAUGACGGUACCCGCAGAAUAAGUCCCGGCUAACUUCGUG